ACAUACGACCAUAGGGUGUGGAGAACAGGGCUUCCCGUCCGCUCAGCCGUACUUGAGCCACACGCCGGGAGGUUAGUAGUUGGGUGGGUGACCACCAGCGAAUCCCUCCUGUUGUAUGUU
rnacentral:rRNA from 1 species